GCAAAUCUGCUACGCUGCUCAGGGAUUAGUGGCGAACGGGUGAGUAACACGUGAGUAACCUGCCCUUGACUCUGGGAUAAGCGCUAGAAAUGGCGUCUAAUACCGGAUACGAGCUUCAGCCGCAUGGCUAGGAGUUGGAAAGAAUUUUGGUCAAGGAUGGACUCGCGGCCUAUCAGCUAGUUGGUGAGGUAAUGGCUCACCAAGGCGACGACGGGUAGCCGGCCUGAGAGGGUGACCGGCCACACUGGGACUGAGACACGGCCCAGACUCCUACGGGAGGCAGCAGUGGGGAAUAUUGCACAAUGGGCGAAAGCCUGAUGCAGCAACGCCGCGUGAGGGAUGACGGCCUUCGGGUUGUAAACCUCUUUUAGUAGGGAAGAAGCGAAAGUGACGGUACCUGCAGAAAAAGCACCGGCUAACUACGUGCCAGCAGCCGCGGUAAUACGUAGGGUGCAAGCGUUGUCCGGAAUUAUUGGGCGUAAAGAGCUCGUAGGCGGUUUGUCGCGUCUGCUGUGAAAUCUGGGGGCUCAACCCCCAGCCUGCAGUGGGUACGGGCAGACUAGAGUGCGGUAGGGGAGAUUGGAAUUCCUGGUGUAGCGGUGGAAUGCGCAGAUAUCAGGAGGAACACCGAUGGCGAAGGCAGAUCUCUGGGCCGUAACUGACGCUGAGGAGCGAAAGCAUGGGGAGCGAACAGGAUUAGAUACCCUGGUAGUCCAUGCCGUAAACGUUGGGAACUAGAUGUGGGGGCCAUUCCACGGUCUCCGUGUCGCAGCUAACGCAUUAAGUUCCCCGCCUGGGGAGUACGGCCGCAAGGCUAAAACUCAAAGGAAUUGACGGGGGCCCGCACAAGCGGCGGAGCAUGCGGAUUAAUUCGAUGCAACGCGAAGAACCUUACCAAGGCUUGACAUAUACCGGAAACGUCCAAAGAUGGUCGCCCCGCAAGGUCGGUAUACAGGUGGUGCAUGGUUGUCGUCAGCUCGUGUCCUGAAAUGUUGGGUUAAGUCCCGCAACGAGCGCAACCCUCGUUCUAUGUUGCCGCCCGUUAUGGUGGGAACUCAUAGGAGACUGCCCGGGUCAAUCCGAAGAAAGUUGGGAUAU
rnacentral:rRNA from 1 species